AUUGAUUAAUUAUAUAAAUAUGUCCAAGUGUAACAUCUGUUCUUAUCAGCUUAAUAUCUGAUGCGGGUUGUAGUUAGACUCAAGAUAUUAAAUUUGUUUUUCCAAGCUCGCGGAGUGCUUGAAGCCUGCUUCACCUCCACGUGGGUCGGCCCGGUAUUGGACAAUCUUCGGGGUUAGCCCACGGUUC